rnacentral:rRNA from 1 species
CCUGGGUAACUGGGUGGGGGAAGUGGCGAAAGGGGCAGUAAUGCAUGGGUAACCUGCCCUGGGGACGGGGAUAGCCCUCCUAACGGAGGGGUAAUACCCGGCGACGUGCGAGGGGGGCCUCCUCCUUGCACCAAAGGUUGCGACGCCCCGGGAGGGGCCCAUGUGAUAUUAGCUUGUUGGUGAGGUAACGGCUCACCAAGGCCGAGAUGUCUAGCAGGUGUGAGAGCACGACCUGCGCCACUGGCACUGGGACACUGGCCAGACUCCUACGGGAGGCUGCAGUCGAGGAUCUUCGGCAAUGGGCGCAAGCCUGACCGAGCGACGCCGCGUGUGCGACGAAGGCCUUCGGGUUGUAAAGCACUGUCGGAGGGGAGAAAGGCCGCAAGGCUUGAUCGACCCUCGGAGGAAGCACGGGCUAAGUUCGUGCCAGCAGCCGCGGUAAGACGAACCGUGCGAACGUUAUUCGGAUUCACUGGGCUUAAAGGGCGCGUAGGCGGACCGGUACGUCGAGGGUGAAAUCCCCCAGCUCAACUGGGGAAUGGCCCGCGAAACCGCCGGUCUCGAGGGGGGUAGGGGCACGCGGAACUUCCGGUGGAGCGGUGAAAUGCGUAGAGAUCGGAAGGAACGCCGGUGGCGAAAGCGGCGUGCUGGGCCCCUUCUGACGCUGAGGCGCGAAAGCCAGGGGAGCGAACGGGAUUAGAUACCCCGGUAGUCCUGGCCC